AUGGCCGGCGUGAACACCAGUGUGGUCGGCCUCAAGCCCGCCGCGGCGGUGCCGCAGUCCGCCUCGCCGGCGGCGGCAAAGCGCGUGCAGGUCGCCCCGGCCAAGGACCGGCGGUCGGCGCUUCUCGGCCUGGCGGCGGUCUUCGCCGUCACGGCCGCCUCCGCCGGGUCGGCCAGGGCAAGCGUCUUCGACGAGUACCUCGAGAAGAGCAAGCUCAACAAGGAGCUGAACGACAAGAAGAGGGCGGCGACGAGCGGCGCCAACUUCGCGCGCGCCUACACCGUCCAGUUCGGCAGCUGCAAGUUCCCCUACAACUUCACCGGCUGCCAGGACCUCGCCAAGCAGAAGAAAGUCCCGUUCAUCACCGACGACCUGGAGAUCGAGUGCGAGGGGAAGGAGAAGUUCAAGUGCGGAUCCAACGUCUUCUGGAAAUGGUGA
rnacentral:rRNA from 1 species